rnacentral:tRNA from 1 species
GGUAAGAUGGCCGAGGGUAGGCGGCGGGCUGUAAACCCGCAGACGGGGCAAAGACCCCCUCUUACCA